rnacentral:tRNA from 1 species
GUCUCUGUAGCGCAAUGGAUAGCGCGUUGGACUUCUAAUCCAAAGGUUAUGGAUUCGAAUCCAAUCUGGGAUG